AACCUCCGCAAUGUGAGAAAUCGCGACGGGGGGAUCCCAAGUGCCAUUCUUAACGGGAUGGCUUUUCAUUAGUGUAAAGAGCUUUUGGAAUAAGGGCUGGGCAAGACCGGUGCCAGCCGCCGCGGUAACACCGGCAGCUCUAGUGGUAGCAGUUUUUAUUGGGCCUAAAGCGUCCGUAGCCGGUUUAAUAAGUCUCUGGUGAAAUCCUGUAGCUUAACUGUGGGAAUUGCUGGAGAUACUAUUAGACUUGAGACCGGGAGAGGUUAGAGGUACUCCCAGGGUAGAGGUGAAAUUCUGUAAUCCUGGGAGGACCGCCUGUUGCGAAGGCGUCUAACUGGAACGGUUCUGACGGUGAGGGACGAAAGUUAGGGGCGCGAAACCGGAUUAGAUACCCGGGUAGUCCUAACUGUAAACGAUGCGGACUUGGUGUUGGGGUGGCUUUGAGCUGUCCACGUGUCGACGGGAAGGACGUGUUAGUUACCGUCCGCCCGUCGGUAAGGGUAAC
rnacentral:rRNA from 1 species